UCUUUGUGCUAUUUUAAUUGUUCAUUUAUAAAUUAGAUAGUUCACAAUAGUCUUCUAAGUACACCAGAAACUACCUUCUUGAAACUACCAAAAAGCAAAAGCACCUAAGGUGGACAAUAGGUACUACAGAAAGAAAUACACUAAGGUAAACAAGAAAUAUCAAAAUGCCAACAACUCAAACUGUUUGCUCAUGUAAGAUACAUAUUAAUUAUGGCAACUAAAAGACAUUUAGUAAUACAUGUAAUGUUGGUGAUGAGUUCCAUGGCAUCUGAAGUCCCACAACUUCUCAAUUUGCUCAUCAUGAAUAUAUCUUCUUUUUCCCUGCAAUAAAUAUGGCUGUUUUGUUUGAAUAUUAUUUAUUGGAAUAGCUGUUGGAGCAUGAGUUACAAGUUGUAAUUAUUUGGCUCUCUGAACUACCAUUCAUUUGGCAAGUCUUUAUUAUGUGUGAUUUUAUUGCAAUCUUUAUGUGUUUUGGAAUCACAAGGUAAAUACACUUUGUUUAAUCCAUUCAGCAGCUGCACUCAACUAAUGGAAAGUGUUUUAUAUAAGAUGCCAUUGAGUUUGGGAUAGUUACAUGAACUCUGUUUUCAUUGAAUAACUGAAUAGUGCUGCUUUGUCUGAAUUAUAGGUUUGGUAAUUCAUAUGGUAUUGCUGGUAGAAGUGAGAAUAGGAGCAAGGGUAGAAGCUUGGGAGCUUUGGAAAGAUUAUGAAGUCUCUGCUCGGAAGAACAGUUAAGAGCACCAGAUGGUUUGACAUUUUCAUAUGUGGAAUGAGGGGGCUAAGUUUGUCGUCAAUACAUAUAUCUAGGAGAUAUUAGAAUUAUUUUUUGUGUCUUAAUGUGUGGAUGAUUGGGAAAUACAUCCUUUGUAGUACAUUUGAUUGUUUAAUGUAA
rnacentral:lncRNA from 1 species